rnacentral:rRNA from 1 species
GAUGAACGCUGGCGGCGGUGCUUAACACAUGCAAGUCGAACGAAGCACUUAAGAUUGAUUCUUCGGAUGAAGUCUUUUGUGACUGAGUGGCGGACGGGUGAGUAACGCGUGGGUAACCUGCCUCAUACAGGGGGAUAACAGUUAGAAAUGACUGCUAAUACCGCAUAAGCGCACAGGACCGCACGGUCUGGUGUGAAAACUCCGGUGGUAUGAGAUGGACCCGCGUCUGAUUAGCUAGUUGGUGAGGUAACGGCCCACCAAGGCGACGAUCGGUAGCCGACCUGAGAGGGUGAUCGGCCACAUUGGGACUGAGACACGGCCCAA